rnacentral:rRNA from 1 species
AGUGGCGCACGGGUGCGUAACGCGUGGGAAUCUGCCUUGGGGUUCGGAAUAACAGCGGGAAACUGCUGCUAAUACCGGAUGAUGAUGCCGGAGAGAUUUGGCAUCCAAAGAUUUAUCGCCCUGAGAUGAGCCCGCGUCCGAUUAGCUUGUUGGUGGGGUAAAGGCCUACCAAGGCUUCGAUCGGUAGCUGGUCUGAGAGGAUGAUCAGCCACACUGGGACUGAGACACGGCCCAGACUCCUACGGGAGGCAGCAGUGGGGAAUAUUGGACAAUGGGCGCAAGCCUGAUCCAGCAAUGCCGCGUGAGUGAUGAAGGCCUUAGGGUUGUAAAGCUCUUUUACCCGGGAUGAUAAUGACAGUACCGGGAGAAUAAGCUCCGGCUAACUCCGUGCCAGCAGCCGCGGUAAUACGGAGGGAGCUAGCGUUGUUCGGAAUUACUGGGCGUAAAGCGCGCGUAGGCGGCUUUGUAAGUUAGGGGUGAAAGCCCGGUGCUCAACACCGGAAUUGCCUUUAAGACUGCAUCGCUUGAAUCCAGGAGAGGUGAGUGGAAUUCCGAGUGUAGAGGUGAAAUUCGUAGAUAUUCGGAAGAACACCAGUGGCGAAGGCGGCUCACUGGACUGGUAUUGACGCUGAGGUGCGAAAGCGUGGGGAGCAAAC